rnacentral:rRNA from 1 species
CGNNUGGCUAGGAUGACGCUGGCGGCGUGCUUAACACAUGCAAGUCGAGCGAGGGAGCACCUUCGGGUGUGAACUAGCGGCGGACGGGUGAGUAACACGUGGGCAACCUGCCUUACAGAGGGGGAUAGCCUUCCGAAAGGAAGAUUAAUACCGCAUAUUAUGAUUUUUCUGCAUGGGAAAGUCAUGAAAGGAGCAAUCCGCUGUAAGAUGGGCCCGCGGCGCAUUAGCUAGUUGGUGAGGUAAGGGCUCACCAAGGCGACGAUGCGUAGCCGACCUGAGAGGGUGAUCGGCCACAUUGGGACUGAGACACGGCCCAGACUCCUACGGGAGGCAGCAGUGGGGAAUAUUGCACAAUGGGGGAAACCCUGAUGCAGCAACGCCGCGUGAGUGAUGACGGCCUUUCGGGUUGUAAAGCUCUGUCUUCAAGGACGAUAAUUGACGGUACCUGAGGAGGAAGCCACGGCUAACUACGUGGCAGCAGCCGCGGUAAUAUCGUAGGUGGCGAGCGUUAUCUGGAUUUACUGGGCGUUAAGGAUGCGUAAGUGGAAUUUUAAGUGGGAUGUGAAAUACCCGGGCUCAACCUGGGGAACUGCAUUUCUAACUGGGAUUCUAGAGUGCAGAGAGAAAGCGGAAUUUCCUAGUGUAGCGGUGAAAUGCGUAGAGAUUAUGAAGAACACCAAUGGGCGAAGCGGCUUUCUUGACUGUAACUGACACUGAGGCAUGAAGCGUGGGGAGCAAACAGGAUUAGAUAUCCCUGGUAGUCCACGCCGUAAACGAUGGGUACUAAGUGUAGGGGUUUCGAUACCUCUGUGGCGCCGGCAAACACAAUUANUACCCCGCCUCGGGGAGUACGGCGCAGGAUUAAACUCAANGAAUUGACGGGGNCGCCCCAGUAGCGAGCAUGUGGUUUAUUUCNAGCACNCGAAACUUACCUAACUUGACAUGUCU